UCCUACGGGAGGCAGCAGGGAGGAAUAUUGGGCAAUGGGGGAAACCCUGACCCAGCAACGCCGCGUGAAGGAAGAAGGCCUUCGGGUUGUAAACUUCUGUGACAGGGGACGAAAGAAAUGACGGUACCCUGAGAGGAAGCCACGGCAAACUACGUGCCAGCAGCCGCGGUAAUACGUAGGUGGCGAGCGUUGUCCGGAAUCACUGGGCGUAAAGGGCGCGUAGGCGGCGCUUCAAGUCGCAUGUGAAGGACCAGGGCUCAACCCUGGGGGGUCAUGCGAAACUGGAGUGCUUGAGUGCAGUAGAGGUAAGCGGAAUUCCUGGUGUAGCGGUAAAAUGCGUAGAGAUCAGGAGGAACACCGGUGGCGAAGGCGGCUUACUGGGCUGCAACUGACGCUGAUGCGCGAAAGCGUGGGGAGCAAACAGGAUUAGAUACCCUGGUAGG
rnacentral:rRNA from 1 species